UUUCAGGAUCAGGAGGACGAAGGAAACGGGAAUAACAAACAUGUGCCCUCCUGUCCACAGGGGCUCUCCUCAGAGCAGCCCGUCGUCCUCGGUCCCGAACUCUCCUGCUGGGGGCCACAUUCGGCCCUCGAGCCUGAUGGUUUGGGACAUAAGCUUCAGCGUCAGUAUCGUUCACCGAGGAGGAAGUCGGCGGGAAACAUCCCUCUGUCACCGCUGGCUCGCACGCCGUCUCCGCCCCCUCCACCGGCGUCGCCUCAGCGCUCGCCAUCGCCACUGUCUGCCAUCGCUCCGUUUCCGGUAAAGCUGCACUCGUCGCCGCCGUUGCCGCGGCAGGUUUCUCGGCCGAAGAGCGGCGAGCCUCGCUCUCCUCUGCUGAAGAGAGUGCAGUCUGCAGAGAAACUGUGUGUGAGCGCCCCCAGCGGCUCCGGAGGAGGAACUGCAGCUGCAGGAAGGAAACACAGUGUGGACGUCGGCCACGGCCUCCAGGACGCGGCGCCGGACGCGGGACGUGUGUCUCAGUCCAAACUCAAGGACAAACUGUCCACGAUCCGGCAGGACCGAGCCGAGCGCCGCGAGUCGCUGCAGAAACAGGACGCCAUCCGCGAGGUCGACUCCUCCGAGGACGAAGACGAGGACGUCCCCUCGGAGACGGUCCAGACCGGCCGCUGCGGCGUCCUGCCGUCCCUCUGCCUGUCCCCGCAGCUCGCCACCUUCAGCCACGGCGUCUUCUCCAAACCCGGCAGCGCCUUCACACCGUGAGACGCUUCUGCCAAAGCAAACACGGAAACACGACGGAGACACAGGACACUUCACCAAACCACGGCCGCCAGAACCCGAGCACAGAGCCAGAGGGGACGAGUGUGGGCCCAACGACGAGUGUGGACCCAACGACACUUCACCAAACCACGGCCGCCACAAACAGACCACAGAGCCACACGGGGCGAGUGUGGGCCCAACGACAGAUUCAUCAGACCACUGCCUCCAAAGACUCCUCCUACCUACGCAAUAACUACCACUAA
rnacentral:lncRNA from 1 species